rnacentral:rRNA from 1 species
GACGAACGCUGGCGGCGUGCCUAAUACAUGCAAGUAGAACGCUUAAGGAGGAGCUUGCUCUUCUGGAUGAGUUGCGCACGUGUGAGUAACGCGUAAGUAACCUGCCUGGUAGCGGGUGACAACUAUUGGAAACGAUAGCUAAUACCUCAUAAGAGUAGAUGUUGCAUGACAUUUUUUUAAAAGGUGCCAUUGCAUCACUACCAGAUGGAACUGCGUUGUAUUUGCUAUUUGGUGGGGUAAAGGCUCACCAAGGCGACGGUACAUAGCCGACCUGAGAGGGAGAUCGGCCACACUGGGACUGGGACACGGCCCAGACGCCUACGGGAGGCAGCAGUAGGGAAUCUUCGGCAAUGGACGGAAGUCUGACCGAGCAACGCCGCGUGAGUGAAGAAGGUUGUCGGAUCGUAAAGCUCUGUUGUAAGGGAAGAACGAGUGUGAGGGUGGAAAGUUCACGCUGUGACGGUAUCUUACCAGAAAGGGACGGCUAACUACGUG